UAGCCAUAUCAUGUUGAAACACCAGUUCUCGUCUAACCACUGAAGUUAAGCCACAUCGAGCCAGGUCAGUACUUAAAUGGGUUACUGCUUGGGAACUGUGUGGAUGGUGC